GCCUGGGUAGCUCAGUUGGCAGAGCAUUAGGAAUCGCAUUCCUAAGGUCCAGGGUUCGAAUCCCUGCCCAGGCA